GGGGAAUAUUGCGCAAUGCGCGAAAGCGUGACGCAGCAACGCCGCGUGGAGGAAGACGGCUCUAGGGUUGUAAACUCCUUUCAGUUGAGACGAGGCCUUGCCGGUUAAUAGCCGUGUAAGGUGACGGUAUCAUCACAAGAAGCCCCGGCUAACUACGUGCCAGCAGCCGCGGUAAUACGUAGGGGGCAAGCGUUGUCCGGAAUUAUUGGGCGUAAAGAGCGCGUAGGCGGUCUGAUAAGUCUGCUGUGAAAGUCCAGGGCUCAACCCUGGAAGGUCAGUGGAUACUGUCAGACUAGAGUCUGGAAGAGGUCAAUGGAAUUCCCGGUGUAGUGGUGGAAUACUCAGAUAUCGGGAGGAACACCUAUAGCGAAGGCAGUUGACUGGGACAGUACUGACGCUGAGGCGCGAAAGCGUGGGUAGCAAAC
rnacentral:rRNA from 1 species